GUGCUUGCUUUGGCAGCACAUCUACUAAAAUUGGAAUGAUACAGAGAAGAUUAGCAUGCACCCUGUGCAAGGAUGACACACAAAUUAGUGAAGCAUUCCAUAUUUUU
rnacentral:snRNA from 1 species